rnacentral:rRNA from 1 species
UCAGCCGCCGCGGUAAAACCAGCACCUCGAGUGGUCAGGAGGUUUAUUGGGCCUAAAGCAUCCGUAGCCGGUUGUUUAAGUUUUCGGUUAAAUCUAUGCGCUUAACGUAUAGGCUGCCGAAAAUACUGGACAGCUAGGGAGUGGGAGAGGUAAACGGUACUCAAUAGGAAGGGGUAAAAUCCUUUGAUCUGUUGAUGACCACCUGUGGCGAAGGCGGUGUACCAGAACACGUUCGACGGUGAGGGAUGAAAGCUGGGGGAGCAAACCGGAUUAGAUACCCGGGUAGUCCCAGCUGUAAACGAUGCAAACUCGGUGAUGCAUUGGCUUGUGGCCAAUGCAGUGCCGCAGGGAAGCCGUUAAGUUUGCCGCCUGGGAAGUACGUACGCAAGUAUGAAGCUUAAAGGAAUUGGCGGGGGAGCACA